CUGCCACGCCGACUGGUCGGUGCCGAAGCCGUGCGCGAACACCAAGACCCUCUCGCCGGUCCCUAUCACCCGGACAUUAAGAGCCUCCAACAACAUGUUUGCCAUGGUCGAGACUCGAGCUACAGAGGGGAAAAUAAUGAGAGUAUCAUCUGCGAUGAUGAUCGAUUUGUUAUCGGCAAAUUGGUAUAGUAGAAGUUAUGACGUAUGACACAUGACAAAUGGAUGACACAUAUAGCUAGCGAGGAACAUCAGCUCUCGAGAAGCAUCAGUUAUUUUCCUUUUAGGUAUUUUUCUCUCGCACCGUUGAGUAAUUGAUUAAUUAGACGAGUAUGCAUCCAGAUCUGCCCAAUUCUACGAUGGUGUUUCUGAGCAUGUCUUAGAGGAUCUGAUCCUGUCAAAUUUUAUCCUUACAAAGGAUGAUAUUUCUGAUCAUGGGUUUGCGUAAUAUACAUGUAGAAUCUUCAUCCGCUGGUUGUUCAUGAGUAGGGUGUGUGUAUAUAUAUAUAUAUAUAUAUAUGUAUAGUAGGGUCGGUCAAGAAUCUGAUUCAAUGGGGUAGCCUUCAUCUCGAAAGAAAAAUAUACUGCAUAUUUAUAUGUAUGGUCCA